UGGUAAAUGGUUUAUAUUAUCACGCACACCACGCGUAAGAGUGUAUGUCAUUUUUGUAAAUGUAAAUUUGUUGUACAUUUGUUACUUUAUUAAAAUGGGAAUAUUAGAAAAAAUAUCUGAAAUUGAAAAAGAAAUUGCUCGGACGCAAAAGAAUAAAGCUACUGAGUAUCAUUUAGGUUUAUUAAAAGCAAAACUUGCGAAAUAUAGAUCACAACUUUUAGAACCACCAAAAAAAUCUGAAAAAGGAGAAGGAUUUGAUGUAUUAAAAUCAGGAGAUGCAAGAGUAGCUUUGAUAGGCUUUCCUUCUGUAGGAAAAUCUACUUUAUUAAGUACAUUAACACAUACAGAAUCUGAAGCAGCAUCUUAUGAAUUUACUACUUUAACUUGUAUACCUGGUGUUAUUGAAUAUAAAGGAGCUAAUAUUCAACUUCUUGAUCUUCCUGGAAUAAUUGAAGGUGCUGCACAGGGUAAAGGAAGGGGUAGGCAAGUAAUAGCUGUUGCACGAACAGCUGAUUUAGUUCUUAUGAUGUUAGAUGCUACUAAACAAGAUGUACAAAGACAACUUUUAGAAAAAGAACUGGAAUCAGUUGGUAUACGACUUAAUAAAAAAAAGCCAAACAUAUAUUUCAAGAUAAAGAAAGGAGGUGGAUUAGCAUUCAAUUCAACAUGUCCAUUAACAAAAGUAGAUGAAAAAUUAGUUCAAAUGAUUUUACAUGAAUAUAAAAUUUUCAAUGCAGAAGUUCUAUUUCGUGAAGAUUGUAGUGCAGAUGAAUUAAUUGAUGUAAUUAAUGCCAAUAGAGUAUAUUUACCAUGUCUUUAUGUACAUAAUAAAAUAGAUCAGAUAUCAAUAGAAGAAGUGGAUAGAAUUGCCAGGCAACCUAAUAGUGUAGUAGUUAGUUGCAAUAUGAAAUUAAAUUUGGACUUCCUUCUUGAAACAUUAUGGGAAUAUUUAUCUUUAAUAAGAGUUUAUACAAAAAAACCUGGUCAACCACCUGAUUUUGAAGAUGGUUUAAUAUUAAGAAAAGGAGUUACAGUAGAACAUGUAUGUCAUGCAAUUCAUCGUACACUUGCUCAACAAUUUAAAUAUGCUCUUGUUUGGAUCAGUGCUGUCCAAACUUAGUUGCUAGUAAAAUGGGCUCCAUCUACAUCCCGUGUUAUUUCGCGCGAGAUUUUUAUUUCUAAUAUAUAGAAUUCAAACUUUAAUCGAUUAUUUUCAGAACAGUCAAAUAAAAGGAUUGAUUAUGUUUGGUCUUAGCUGAAGAAAAUAUAUUUAUAACCAAACAUAGCAUAUCAUUGAAUAUAAAAUGAGGAAAUAUGUGAAUGAAGAAUUCAUAGAAGAUGGAAUACAUGAAUUACUCUACUACUUUUGAAUACUAGCAUAAAGGGAGAUAAAAUCGCGUAACGGGGCCCCAUCAGUGGACAGCACUGUUUUAGAACAAAAAAAAAAAUUGGGUACAAGUACCAAAUAUUCACCUCAACGAGUUGGAUUACAACAUAUUAUGCACGAUGAAGAUGUUAUUCAAAUAGUUAAAAAAUAAAAUUUAUAUAAUUAUAAAUUAUUUGUGAAAAUAGUAAAAGUAGAAUAUUAUAUAGUUUUGUUUAUACGUUUUAUACAUGUUUGCUGGAAAAAGAAGAGAGAGAGAGAGAAAGAAUUGUCAUUUAAAACUUAAAUGCUA